AACUUAAAGAUGAGCCAAAGGGUUGUUUGACUGCCCUUUAGUUCUCUGGUCUCCAUGACUCAACGUUUAGACGUCAGUACACAAGUUCAGCCAAAUGCUUGUGAAAUUUCUUCUGAACUCAUCCGAGGAGACUUGACCCUCCCGACUUGAGGAUUCUGACUGCUUUGCCUGACAGCAGACAAACUCUGCCUCAGGGUCUGUGAGUGGAAGGGGGAUGGGUGGGACCUCCUGCAGCCUCUCUGGGGCAGACACGAUGAGCAGUAGUGACUUCCUGGGGCAGGUACUGAAACUGUGCCAAGGAAUAACAAAAUGGCAGGAACCAGUUGGAACCAAUAUGGCCAACUGGAGUUUCUGCAGAAGGAGCUUGCUGGUGUCACGGCCCGGAUUUCCACGUGUUUCAUGCUAGCUGCCCUGGAAUUUAAUUAGCACACGGGACCCAAGAGGAGGCAGGAAGAGAUAACUGCACAUGUCUGAGGACUUUCCAGAGCUCCCCUUUCCUUCCACUAGUCUCCUGCAAAUCCUGGAACCCACCCUCUAACCCUUUUCUAAUAAAUGAUUUCCUUAAAGGCAGCACAGAGAGACAGAUUGGAGCUGGACUCCUGUGUCCUUGUUGGUCAACUUGCAAAGAAAGCUUUUCUUUUCUCU